ACCAGGGCUCCCAACACUGGGAUCUGCGGACCCGCUUGAAGAAGCAGGACUCGCCUUCGUGAAACGAGAAAGGACCAAGCAGAAAAGCAGGAGGUGCCACACCCAGAACAGGCCCAGACGGCCGCCGGGGGACUCUCGCCAUUGCGGUCCGUCCACACCCCUGCCUUUCACCACUGCUCCCUGGCAACCAGGUCCCUACGGGACUCGGGAUUCAACCUACGGGACUCACCUGCCUGCCCCUGCGGACCACCCAGAUGUGCCAAGUGCCAUCUCCCCACCUCCGAGUCUCAGCGCGACCUCCGGGGCUUAUGCCGGCUGGCUCUAAACCCACUGAGUGAAUAAUGACCUGGACUCCAGCAAAGAUGCUGGUCAGAAAGGUACUCCUUUUCCCUCUCUGGGCACCUCCAGGCGGGCUGUGCACUCCCAGGGCAGUGAAAUUCUCAUUUCCAUCUCAUGUGUCUCCUAUCAUGGAAGGUGCACUCCCAUCAUAAAGAACCCAAGCUCUGACACAGACACACCAGACAGGUGGAGAACAGUGUCCCCCAGGGCUCAGUGUGGCUGCUCACAUCCCUCUCCUGGGCAGGACCUUCAGGCUACAGGGAAAAUGGGGAAGCUGGGAGCCAGCAGCCCACAGCCUCCGUCUCCUGGCGCCCUCCCUGUAGCAGAGCCCAAGAAGUAGAGCAGAGGAGCAGCCUGUCCACAAGGAACUGGCCCAGACCGAGACGGUCCAAGUGCACAGUACACGAAGGUUUCAAGGACUCCGCACCAGCAAGAGCGUGAGAUGGCUCACUUUUCCACUCACUACACGUCCAAGAAGUCAUAUUUUGGGUAUACUGAGUUAAUUAAACAUAUUACUAAAAUUGA